GUGCUAAGGUAGCAUAAUCACUUGCUUCUUAAUUGGUAGCUGGAAUGAAAGGUUGAACUAACUUAACAAGUUUGUUUUUCUAAUUAGGGUAUUUAAGUCAAGGUAAGAAUUCUUUGAUAACCUAGGGGACGAUAAGACCCUAGAAGCUUAACAAUAAGUUAAGGUAUUUGUUACGCUAGCAACUUUGUUUUACUGGGGCGGUAAAAAUGUUUAAACCAAUUAGGUUUUAGCGGAUCCUCUACAUAGGGAAAGAUUGGUGUAGUUACUCUAGGGAUAACAGUGUUAUAUCUUUGGAGAGACCUUAUCGAUAAAUAUUUUUGCAACCUCGAUGUUGAAUUA
rnacentral:rRNA from 1 species